AAACCCUCCAUCCCUCUACCUGAGAUGCACCUGAUCCGGAUAAUGCCGGCGUAGGGAUUGGAGUUAUGGAAGUUU
rnacentral:ncRNA from 16 species